GCUUACGGCCAUAUCAGCCUGGGUACGCCAUCUCGCUGAUCUCGGAAGCUAAGCAGGGUCGGGCCUGGUUAGUACUUGGAUGGGAGACCGCCUGGGAAUACCAGGUGCUGUAAGCA
rnacentral:rRNA from 1 species